rnacentral:misc_RNA from 1 species
CUCACAAACACAGUACUCUCGCGAUGCCGUGAGGGUUUGACUGACGGUUAAAAGGUGGCCGCAACCACCUCCUCCUCCCCCGUCAGGUCACGUGACCACGACAUUAAUCAAUGGGGGGAGGAGGGACGAGUGACGUCAUCAAUGGCCAGUGACAGAUAUAAAAACGUGACGUCGUCAGCAAACAAAAUCAUUAUCGGUUCAAGUUUCUCAUCUGUGAUACCACUAUCGGUGAAUGGACAGUGCCACGUGCGGGCGAUUUCACUGCGACGAACGGCUAUACAUAUCUGCAAAACUCGCUCUUUAAUUGAAAAUGACUUCUCUGGAUAUCUUCUGAGAAAUAUUAUUGAGAACAGCAGUGCCUAUGUCAACUUUUCAAUUUUCUUGACUGGAGCUGUAAUACUUGGCGAAGAACAACACGGUAUUCCCAACCGGUGCUCACGACCGUGCCAGGAAAAACACAACAACAAAGACGAUUAUUUGUGUAACUUUUCGAAGCCCGCGAAUCGUUCAAGUCGAAAUUGAAAGACUUUUGAAAUCCCAUUCAACAAUGGAAGUGAAACCGCAGAACGUUGUGGCCGUGAUGUUCGUUACAGUGUGUCUAGUGGCAGUCGUGCAGGCCAGCAGGUACGGCCACUUCGGUGAAGAAACGUGUCAACCCAAUGAAUUCUGCCUCGGCCGUCGCUAUAGGAACAUAGUCCAGACCUGCGCAUGCCCAGAAGAAGUGCACGAAAUCGACGGCCUUUUAGUAUCCAUCCCCACACAAUGCCAAUACGACUACCGUAAACGUCACUUCCUGUGUAGGCCAAAGGUCAAUUAUGAAGGUACUGACGAGCAUGGUCGGUAGGAAUCAUGUCACCACCCCGGCAGCUUCAUAUCCAGACUUUUCAACGAUUUCACCAACAAGAGGCGAUAAUGUCAAAGGGUCUUCACACCUUCGGGAUAUAGAUAUGGACUUGAUCGAUAUUUUUUUUUCUGUUGCAAAUGGACUAUUUCUAUACGCACCAUCCACACGCUCUGUGUGAACCUCCUAUAGUCCUGGUCGUUUUAUAAAGACUGCACUUGGAGACUGAACGAGCCUAUCCAAAAUGGCCGCCUUAGCAACCACCAGAGAUGCGACUUUGAGUCUGCGGAUAUUGGAUAAACAAACCGAGAAGGGUAUUAGCUCGGGUAUUCCGGAUGAAUUGCUUCCUUUAUACACACUCUUGUCCCUUUUUUUGAAAAAAAAAUCUGGAUAUGUUUUAAAAAAAUCAUUGCUAAAAACAGGACGUAUGUAUGGUGUUUAAUUAAUUGAUCGAACCAGCAAUAAAUUAAAAUUGACAGGUAUUACAGGCAACGAGACUUAUUGUCGCCCAUUCAUCAACUGUGACUGAGUUGCUUGUUCGUUUCGCAAGCAAGUAAUUAAUUAAAAUUUGUAAAAAGUGGGCGAUUUCGAGCGAUUCUUGAGGGUCAUUAAAGGGUGAAGAACAAGCUCAUGCUUUGAUGGCGGCGUCAACAUAGGCGCUUCAGUCAUAAACCUACUUAAGGGAGGGGGUUUUAAACCUGGCUUUAGAUCCGAAAUUCAGCUUAGGGGAUUUUAGGUCCCAAUGGCUGAAUCAAUAUGUUCAAUUUAAACUAAAGUUCAAAUCUUAUAAAUCAAGCCACAUUUGCAUAAGUAGGCCUUAUUCCAAUUGAUUCUGACAACUGUGAUUCUAAAGCCAAAGGCAGACGCGUCGCAGGCAAAGCUUCGGGGAAAAUGCAGCUUCGAUAUAGCCUAAAGUAAAAUGUGUUAAACCUUUACCAAUUACAACAUAAGAAGGUUCUUUGACAACGUUUUCAUUACUUAAUCGAUAUUUGACGAGGCCAUGUACAUUCACUUGUUUUCAACGUUAAAUUGUCAUUGAAGUUGAACAUGUCAAUAGAACUGGCCGGGUACCAUGUUACCGAAAGCAUGUUGGAGACCGUAUUUUAUUACAUUAAGUAAGCCUAUUUAAUAUUUAUUCAUUGUACUAUUCAAUUAAUAUUAAUAACUGUUAAAUUUGUGUUAUGUCUUUGUUACUAUCUUUGAAUGUUCUGAUUUGUGUACCUUAUUAAAUUACCUUUUAAAUGUAUUGUGAACUGUACAUUUAAGUGUUGUGUGGCUGUGACAUCGUUUGAAAUGCGAAAAAAUAUUGACAAUUGGUUUUCUAAUGAUAGUCUGUAAUCCUGAAAUCUGAAUCAAAUUCUGUGUUCAAAAUAAUUUCCUUGAAAUACUAUUUUGGGCGAAUUAGUGUCUUUAACUGAGGUUGUCGGCAGGGCUGCAAACUGUACUUUUUUUCUUUCAAUUAAAAUAUUAAAUACGUCACUUGUAAGUGUGCAUACGUUGAAGUUCGUGGUAAUUAAUUAAAAAUUGAAAUAA